AUUGAACGCUGGCGGCAUGCCUUACACAUGCAAGUCGAACGGCAGCACGGGUGCUUGCACCUGGUGGCGAGUGGCGAACGGGUGAGUAAUACAUCGGAACGUACCUUAUCGUGGGGGAUAACGCAGCGAAAGCUGUGCUAAUACCGCAUACGCCCUGAGGGGGAAAGCGGGGGAUCGCAAGACCUCGCGCGAUUAGAGCGGCCGAUGCCUGAUUAGCUUGUUGGUGGGGUAAAAGCCCACCAAGGCGACGAUCAGUAGCUGGUCUGAGUGGACGAUCAGCCACACUGGGACUGAGACACGGCCCAGACUCCUACGGGAGGCAGCAGUGGGGAAUUUUGGACAAUGGGGGCAACCCUGAUCCAGCAACGCCGCGUGAGUGAAGAAGGCCUUCGGGUUGUAAAGCUCUUUUGUCAGGGAAGAAACACCGGCUCUAACACAGUCCGGGAAUGACGGUACCUGAAGAAUAAGCACCGGCUAACUACGUGCCAGCCGCCGCGGUAA
rnacentral:rRNA from 1 species